UUGCAAAUGGUGUUACCCUGUCAGAUCAUUAAACGAAAUCAUACCAGCAAUUAUAUUAUAAGGGAGAAAAUUCUCUUCUUAGACCUGCCCUCCUAUAUCCAAUGAUAACUGAUAAAAGAACAGGUGGCAUCACAAAAAUGUCAGCAUGGAAAACACCGUGCCAAGAAUAUAAUGGACAAUCUAUUGACAUAAAGCAUACAGUAAAACAACUAAAAACAUUACUGGAAAAUUUAAAAAGGAAAACUUGUACAGAUGCAGAUGCAGAAAAACUGAAUUGUAUGAAAACAGGUAGCAGAUCAUGUACAGUUUUU
rnacentral:lncRNA from 1 species